rnacentral:rRNA from 1 species
AGGAUGAACGCUGGCGGUAUGCUUAACACAUGCAAGUCGAACGGGGUCUUUCGGGAUCUAGUGGCGGACGGGUGAGUAACGCGUGAGAAUCUGCCUACAGGACUGGGACAACAGCUGGAAACGGCUGCUAAGACCGGAUGUGCCGAGAGGUGAAAUAUUUAUAGCCUGUAGAUGAGCUCGCGUCUGAUUAGCUAGUUGGUGAGGUAAGAGCUCACCAAGGCGACGAUCAGUAGCUGGUCUGAGAGGACGAUCAGCCACACUGGGACUGAGACACGGCCCAGACUCCUACGGGAGGCAGCAGUGGGGAAUUUCGCAAUGGGCGAAAGCCUGACGGAGCAAUACCGCGUGAGGAGGAAGGUCUGUGGAUUGUAAACCUCUUUGAUAGGAAGAAGUUCUGACGUACCUAUCGAAUCAGCAUCGGCUAACUCCGUGCCAGCAGCCGU